GAUGAACGCUGGCGGCAUGCCUAACACAUGCAAGUCGGACGGGAAGUGGUGUUUCCAGUGGCGGACGGGGGAGUAACGCGUAAGAACCUGCCCUUGGGAGGGGAACAACAGUUAGAAACGACUGCUAAUACCGCAUACGCCCGACGGGGGAAAGCAGGGGACCUUCGGGCCUUGCGCGAUUGGAUAUGCCCAGGUGGGAUUAGUUAGUUGGUGAGGUAAUGGCUCACCAAUGCGACGAUACCUAGCUGGUCUGGGAGGAUGAUCAGCCACACUGGACUGAGACACGAACCAGACUCCUACGGGAGGCAGCAGUGGGGAAUCUUGCGCAAUGGGCGAAAGCCUGACGCAGCCAUGCCGCGUGAAUGAUGAAGGUCUUAGGAUUGUAAAAUUCUCUUGCCAGGGACGAUAAUGACGGUACCUGGAGAAAAAGCCCCGGCUAACUUCGUGCCAGCAGCCGCAGUAAGAC
rnacentral:rRNA from 1 species